AUUUGACUCAACGCGGGAAAUCUUACCGGGUCCGGACACACUGAGGAUUGACAGGUAUUAUAUAGCGCGCUUGCGCGUCUAUUGUUAAAUAUGCUAGUCCUUUCAUGAUUAUGUGAUAGGUGGUGCAUGGCCGUUCUUAGUUCGUGGAGUGAUCUGUCUGCUUAAUUGCGUUUCAGAUAAGGAUCUAUAUUCUUUACAGAAGUGUUGCGUAGUGC
rnacentral:rRNA from 1 species